CUCACAGUGAAAGCAGAAAACAGCAAGCCAACAGUUCAGGACUAGUCAUUCAAAUGGACUAAAGGUGGGGGAGAAUAAAUAAGGGUGGAUAAAAGAAAGAAAGAAAACAGAGAAAGGUGGUGAAAAAAACAAAGGAAGGGAGAGAGAAAAGAAAAAGAGGAAGAGAAGGAAGGGGAAAAACAAGACUGACUUUACAAUAUGAGAUACGCUAUUAUAUAUUGAGCUGCAGAAACCAAAUCCAACAACUUUUGGCAAGGAAGCUUCCUUUCAUCACGCACCUCCCUCCCUUGGGACUUGUAGAGUCUUCUCUUCUUGGAAGGCCUACGCAUUUGCAAUUCUCUACACCUACUGUAGUCCCAUGAGAAAUAUGUUAUUUUCCCAAAUUUCAACAAAGAAGUUGGAAUGACAUUUUAUUUACUGACAUUGACAUUAUUUUGCACUUCUUCCAACUCUCAAGAAAAUAAGAACCACUUGAUGGUAGCAAUACCACUAUCACUGCUGCUUCUGUGAAUAAUUAUUUACAA